rnacentral:rRNA from 1 species
AACCCGAAAGGGACAGUCGAUGGCUAACGGGUUAAUAUUCCCGUACUACUAAUUACUGUGAUGGGGUGACGGAGUGAUGAAAGCGCCGCGAACUGACGGAAUAGUUCGUUGAAGUACCUACCUAUAAUAUCUGCAGGCAAAUCCACAGAUUUUGGGGAAAUACGAUAGUACUCGGAGUCUUCGGACAAAGAGAUAGUGCGCCUAAGGGCUUCCAAGAAAAACCUCUAAACUUCAGGUAAUUAGUACCAGUACCGU